ensembl:lncRNA novel transcript
CAUAGAGCACGAGGAGCAGUCUAGAGCGCCCCCGCGCGGCUGAGCGGCAGCCGAACCAGCCACGGUGCCCGGACGACUGGCUGGCGCCCUUCUGUCCCACCGCUUCCCCUCCCACUGCUCAGCUGGCUCCGGGAGCGACCUGCGAGAGUGGCCCGGCCUCCCGGCAUUUGCAGAUGAGGAGGAUGGGGCCAGAGCGAAGAGGGACAACUGUCAUUUUUUCGAGUAACGGCACAUACCAGGCGCUUUGCCUAAGAUCGCAUUUAAUCGUCACAGCACUGCUAGAGAGCCCUUGAUGUCCUGCAAAUGAAGGAGGAGGAUGUCCUUAAGUUCCUUGCAGCAGGAACCCACUUAGGUGGUACCAACCUUGACUUCCAAAUGGAGUAGCACAUCUGUAAGAAGAAAAGUGAUGGCGUCUACAUCCUACAUCUGAAGAGGACCUGGGAGAAGCAAGAAGUUUCUGCUGGCAGCUCGUGCCAUCGCUGCCUUUAAAAACCCUGUUGAUGUCAGUGUCAUGUCCUCUAGCAAUACUGGCCAGAGGGCUGUGCUGAAGUUUGCUGCUGCCACUGGAGCCACUCAAAUUGUUGGCCGCUUCACUCCUGGAACCUUCACUAGCCAGACCCAGGCAGCCUUCAGGGAGCCACGGCUUCUAGUGGUUACUGAUCCCAGGGCUGACCACCAGCCUCUCACAGAGACAUCUUAUGUUAACCUACCUACCA